rnacentral:rRNA from 1 species
GUGAGGAAUAUUGGUCAAUGGGCGAAAGCCUGAACCAGCAACGCCGCGUGAGGGAUGAAGGCCUUCGGGUCGUAAACCUCUUUUCUGGGAGAAGAGACAAGGACGGUAUCCCAGGAAUAAGUCUCGGCUAACUACGUGCCAGCAGCCGCGGUAAAACGUAGGAGGCAAGCGUUAUCCGGAUUUACUGGGCGUAAAGCGCACGCAGGCGGCUGCGUAAGUCGGACGUGAAAGCUCCUGGCUCAACUGGGAGAGGUCGUUCGAAACUGCGCGGCUUGAGGUUGGAAGAGGAGAGCGGAAUUCCCGGUGUAGUGGUGGAAUGCGUAGAUAUCGGGAGGAACACCAGUGGCGAAAGCGGCUCUCUGGUCCACACCUGACGCUCAGGUGCGAAAGCGUGGGUAGCGAACGGGAUUAGAAACCCUGGUAGUCC